UGGAAAUUAGUUACUUUUAUCCUGACUCCUUCCACAUCACAGGUGUGGAAAAGCCAGAGGUCACCCUCUGAAAUGUGCCUGAAAUAGAGUUCAAACUAUGUCACAGUCAUGCACCUUGUUGAUCUGGACCCUCAACUUGACCCAGACUUUUUUCCCCAGACUGAACUAUGCCCAAAAGACCAAUUGAGUGAAGAAGAAGAAGAAGAAGAAGAAGAAGAAGAAGAAGAAGAAGAAGAAGAAGAAGAAGAAGAAAAGAAACCCUUGGCUUUAAGAAAUUAAAAGACAAUCAUAAGACACUAAGUUAUGGAGGAGUGACAUCUGGCUUCUCGACAGACACCUCAGGCAACAGUAGUAAUAGCUUUGGAGAUGGCUGUGUAUCUGUAAUAGAGUUAAGUUUGUUGUCUGGAUUGUA
rnacentral:lncRNA from 1 species